UGAGUUCAACACUGCAGGACUCAGAUCUGUCAGUCAAGCCAGCAGAAGCAACAAGCACCAUGACCCUCAUCACCAUCCUCAUCUGGACGCUGACCUGCUGCUGUUUUACAGGAUGCAGCGCUCAGAUCACUGUGACUCAACCUGCAGUGGAGACAUUUACACCAGGAUCCACUGCCACUAUCAGCUGUACAACAAAUCAGGAUGUUGUCAGAUCGGAUGAUGGUGAAGAGGCUAUGUACUGGUAUCAGCAGAAACCAGGACAGCCUCCAAAGAAUCUAAUCUAUUUAGUAAAAAAGCUUGAGUCAGGAACUCCAGCUCGGUUUAGUGGCAGUGGAAGCGGCUCUGCCUUCACUUUGACCAUCAGUGGAGUUCAGGCUGAAGAUGCUGCAGUUUAUUACUGUAAAAGUGGACAUGUAAUAAAUGAUGCUGCAGUGUUCACACAGUGAUUAGUAGCCGUACAAAAACCUCCCUCAGUCAGACUGCAGACACUCUGAGCUGUUAGAGUAGAAACUGAACAGACUCUGAUACAGACCACUGAACACA